GGCCGACGUAGGAGCGGGGUCUGGACCUCGGUCCCGCCUCUGAACAUUUCCUGCCUUUUCAGCCCAAAGAAACAAUAUGCAUUCGUUCACUAAAGCAAUAUUGUUUUUUAACAUCUGUGAUGUGCUCACAAGAAUGGUAGUGUGCACUACAUCUCAGGAACUGUGCUGGGAAUGUCACAUAAAUUAUACCUGUUUACCCCUGAAACAAAGGAAGAUCACUUUUCUGUCUGGCUUUGGAGACAUUUGUAGAUGUGGUUGGAAUGUUUUCCCUAAUACAAUAUCCUCUCAAAUAAAACCUCU